AUGGCCGGUCUCACAGCCUGGGCAAUUUGGCUCCACCGCAACGCGGUCAUCUUUGACAAGAUUACUCCCGCCACAUCGACUAUCGUUGCUGCUAUCUAGGACGAGGCUCGCUCCUGGGCAAAUGUUGGAGCCAAAGGACUGAAUGAUUUCAUCCCUGUAACCUGA
rnacentral:rRNA from 1 species